UUUUUUUUCAUCUCAUUCCUUCUUCUUCCUCUCGAUCGCCCCAAAGUUUUUUCAUUUUCUUUCUCCUUCUUCCUCCUUUUCUUCUUCUUCUUCUUCUUCUUCUUCUUCUGAUGCGAUCUUCAAUCUUUUCUCCCAUUCUCGCACCUCUUAACCCUGGUUAUCCCCUUGAUUUUGCAUCGAUUUCACUCUAAUUUCAUCCCUCAUUGUCCUAUUCAGUGUUCACGACUUCACUGAAACCUUGAUUUUGGCCUGUGGAUGGCGUUUCUUGGUUGAAUUUCUUGUUCUCAAGAAGCAAAAUGUCUGGUUCUGAGCUUAAGGAGCGUCACGUGGCGGCUAUUGAGACUGUCAAUUCUCUCAAAGAGCGCUUGAAGCAGAAGAGACAUUCGUUGCUCGAUACCAAUGUAGCUGGGUAUGCGAGGUCUUUGGGGAGGACUCCUAUUUCUUUUGGAGCUACGGAUCUUGUGUGUUGUAGGACUUUGCAAGGUCAUACUGGAAAGGUGUAUUCCUUGGAUUGGACUUCAGAGAGGAAUAGAAUUGUUAGUGCGUCUCAAGAUGGUCGUUUAAUAGUGUGGAAUGCUCUAACAAGCCAGAAGACUCAUGCCAUAAAGCUACCUUGUCCUUGGGUCAUGACCUGUGCCUUCUCUCCUUCUGGUCAAUCUGUAGCAGGUGGUGGUCUUGACAGUGUUUGUUCUAUCUUCAACCUUAACUCUCCAACAGACAGGGAUGGGAAUCUGCCAGUGACUAGAACGCUUAGCGGGCAUAAAGGAUAUAUUUCUUCUUGUCAGUAUGUUCCAGAUGAGGAUACUCACCUCAUUACCGGUUCGGGGGAUCAGACGUGUGUCUUAUGGGACAUUACUACUGGACUUCGAACCUCUGUUUUUGGAGGUGAAUUUCAAUCAGGACAUGCAGCAGAUGUAUCAAGUAUAUCUAUUAGUGGAUCCAAUUCCAGAACAUUUAUUUCUGGUUCUUGUGAUGCAACUGCUCGCCUGUGGGACACUCGGGUAGCUAGUCGAGCAGUUCAGACGUUUCAUGGGCAUGAAGGAGAUGUUAGUGCAGUGAAGUUCUUUCCAGAUGGUAACCGGUUUGGGACUGGUUCUGAUGAUGGAACAUGCAGAUUAUUCGAUAUCAGAACUGGGCAUGAACUCCAAGUUUACCAUCAGCUGCACAAUGAUAAUACCAACUCACACGUAACCUCCAUUGCAUUCUCUAUAUCCGGUAGACUUUUGUUUGCUGGAUACAAAAAUGGUGAUUGCUAUGUGUGGGACACUUUACUUGCAAAGAUGGUUUUGAACUUGGGAAAACUUCAGAACUCACAUGAAGAACGAAUUACUUGCUUGGGCUUGUCUGCUGAUGGAAGUGCUUUAUGUACAGGAAGUUGGGAUUCAAACCUGAAGAUAUGGGCAUUCGGAGGUCACCGGAAGGUAACUUAAGCAUGUGGGGGAGGGAGAGUUUAAAGGGGGUGUAUUUUCUGUACUGCCUUCAGUUUCACUGCAAGGCCUUGUGUUCAGUGUAUCCAUGGAAACACAUUGUUCUUGCUUGUUCAAAUCCUUCAAUUUCUUGUUGGUAAGUUGGUAGAGGUGUGGAAGGAAGGAGAGGCAUCAUACAACUUUUCACCCUAUUUUGUUCUAAUGCCAAGCAAAAUCCCACCAAAGUAAGCUGCCUGCUUAUUCUAAUUCUAAGCUAAUUUCUAUAAGUUUUCAACACACCUUUUUAACUUAUAUUUCUACAAGACCUCCACCUCCUCUUACAAGAAAAUUGGUGACGGAAAGAAAAAUGGAAUUCUCUUAGGCAUAAUCUGUUUUGGCAAAACUGGAAUUAAUGAAAAAUUAUUUAUUUGUUAUUUGUAUCGUA